GGCCGGGCGGCCCCUGUGGUCGCUCGCUGACUUGGCUUCGGGGACUUCUGGUUUCCCGCGUCCGCCCAGAACGGCGUGGUUUGUGGGCGACGGGACUGGGCAGGCGACCCGCAUCCGGCGUCCUGGGGCAGGGGGCAGGCAAGGGGGGGCGGCGUGCUUUCUGAGCUCCAGACCUUAAGGAUGACCGAUUUUCAGACUCUUAACCACCAAAUCAGAGAAGCCAGUGGUGAACAAAUCUCCAUAGAAGAAAGACGUCUCGAUUAAAGUGACUGUCCCCAAGAGUUAAUUUUUGGCGUUUUGUAGCAUUUUGAUGAAAGUCGGUUUUUUUCCUAUAUUAACAAAGAAUGGACGUUAUGGGAAUGGGAGAGAUAUAUAUGCAGAGCAGAUAUUUAUGAAGAGAGGCACUUGUUCUGAGAACUCUUGACAUCUGUAACUGCAUUUGGUGGAUCGUGCUGAAAUACAUCGCAUAGGCUUGUAAACUCAGUGCUGCUGUCGGGACUCAUAGGUGUCGUCUCCUGGAAGAGGCCUCUCUCCCUUGUGGUAA
rnacentral:lncRNA from 1 species